GCCCAUUUAGAGCAGUGGUUAGCUCGCUCGCCUCCGGUGCUCCCUGGACAGCGAGAAGGCAGGGGUUCGAAUCCCCUAAUGGGUG